UAUCUGUCGUGGGCGUAGGAAAUUUGAGAGGAGCUGUCCUUAGUACGAGAGGACCGGGAUGGACGUACCGCUGGUGUACCAGUUGUUCCGCCAGGAGCACGGCUGGGUAGCUAUGUACGGAAGGGAUAAGCGCUGAAAGCAUCUAAGCGUGAAGCCCCCCUCAAGAUGAGAUUUCCCAAUACGUAAGACCCCUUGAAGACGACGAGGUAGAUAGGUUGGGGGUGGAAGUGCAGUAAUGCAUGGAGCUGACCAAUACUAAUCGGUCGAGGGCUUAUCCUAAA
rnacentral:rRNA from 1 species